UACGUAGGGUGCAAGCGUUAAUCGGAAUUACUGGGCGUAAAGCGUGCGCAGGCGGUGAUGUAAGACAGUUGUGAAAUCCCCGGGCUCAACCUGGGAACUGCAUCUGUGACUGCAUCGCUGGAGUGCGGCAGAGGGGGAUGGAAUUCCGCGUGUAGCAGUGAAAUGCGUAGAUAUGCGGAGGAACACCGAUGGCGAAGGCAAUCCCCUGGGCCUGCACUGACGCUCAUGCACGAAAGCCGUGGGGAGCAAACAGGAUUAGAAACC
rnacentral:rRNA from 1 species